GGAAGAAAGCACACGUCUUGAUGAUGCCUUGAUUUGGACGUUUUCACAGCCUCAAAACUAACUGACUCCCAAGACAGCAGGUGUCAGCAUCAUCAUUCACUGGCCCGUUUGGUUCACCUGCCUGUGAGCCUUAGACCUUCUGAUCCUCCAGUGCAGCUGCUGUGUGACGCAUUUCCCAAAUCCCAGCGUUUGUCACUGCCGCUCCCUCGGCUGGAGACAGCUUUGCACAAGCACUGGCAUGGCUGCUUCCUCACCAGUCAGGCCUCAGCUCAAAUGUCACCUCCUCCGAGAGGUCCUCCCUGACCACCUGCCUAGAGCAGCUUCCACCCAAACCAGCAGUAUUGCCCACUCUCAGUCAAGCGAGCAAGCGAGCCAGCCGUUUCAGAUGUCCACCUCAGCAGAGCCUUCCGAUGGCCACAGCUCUAGCUGAUACCCAGCUGCAAGCACACAACACUCCAAACAAGAACUGAACCACCCCACUGAGCCCAGUCAAUGCACAGAACCGUGAGAGAUGUUUUUGUGGACAGUUGCAAGCCACUGGGGUUUGAGCUCAUUUUAUCCCCACACCAAACCUGAGAAACGGAGACGCAAAGCUUCGCGGCAGGAGAAUCAAGUGGCAGCUGAUCAUGUUUGAUGGAGACUUUCAGGAAGAAACCUUCAGCCUGCAGGAGCCAGGGUAGCGGGUCGAGAGGACAGAGCAAGACCUGGAGGCAAGCACUGCCAUCCUCUUUUGAGCGGUCCAGCGCACUGUACCUUAAAAAGCCCUUCCACUCCCUUAUCUCAUUUGGUCCUCACAAGUCCCCGGUGAUGCUGAUGCGAGUGAUGGGAAGAGCCCCUGAGUCUCCGCGGUUCCCAGGAGCAAACGGCCCCAGAGACGACAGAGGAGUGGGGGAGGGUGCGCCGCUCCCGGGAACUGCGCCCUCUGCUGGCCGAACCUUUCUCCUCUCUUCUGGGAAGGCUCCUGAGAACCUUGGCUCAUUCCGGGCUUUAUGGCCUUAACAGAGCAGGGCCACAAGUGGGGUGUAAAAAUGAAGGAGGCAAUCCCCUUCAGACCCUGGAUGCCUUUAUGCCUCCCUCUUGCCCAGGCCCUGUCGUCAGAACUCCCCAGCAUCUGCCAAGAGCUUGCUCUCUGCCAGACCCUGUAUUCAGCAUCUCAUAUGCAUUAUCUCACUCGGUCCUCACGGGAGUUAGUGGUGUCUCCAUUUUGACCAAUGGGGAUGAUGGCACUUAACGAGGAGGAGUAAGGUGUCCAAAAU